rnacentral:rRNA from 1 species
AUUGAACGCUGGCGGCAUGCUUUACACAUGCAAGUCGGACGAGUGGCGAACGUGUGAUUAAUAUAUUGGAACGUACCGAGUAAUUGGGGAUAACCAAUCGAAAGAUUGGCUAAUACCUCAUAUUAUUCUAGCGCCCAAUAUCUGAUUAGCUAGUUGGUGGGGGAAAGGCCUACCAAGGCGACGAUCAGUAGCGGGUCUGAGAGGAUGAUCGGCCACAGUGGGAAUGAGACACGGCGCAGACUCAUACGGGAGGCAGCAGUGGGGAAGUUUGGACAAUGGGCGAAAGCAUGAGCCAGCCAUGCAGCGUGUCUGAAGAAGGCCUUCGGGUUGUAAAGGACUUUUGUUAGGGAAGCGGUACCUAAAGAAUAAGCACCGGCUAACUACGUGCCAGGCGCAGCGGUAAUUC